CCCACAACAAGUCGAGGCAGGCGCCUGCCAGGGUCUGUACUACCGGAUCAUCACUAUGCACUAGUACUAGUACUAUGAGAUUAUAAGAAAAAAGGACGUCGUGUUUAGAAUAAUGGCUACUGAAGGCUGUGAAGAGGACCAAGAGACUGAAGAUUCAACAUUUGUAGAGGACUCGGAGCGAGUGUGGUGUGUGGGUGACCGGUGUCAGGCCCCCUGCUCCUACGAUGGACAGUACUACACCGCUGUUAUC